rnacentral:rRNA from 1 species
CCUACGGGAGGCUGCAGUGAGGAAUAUUGGUCAAUGGACGAGAGUCUGAACCAGCCAAGUAGCGUGAAGGAUGGCUGCCCUAUGGGUUGUAAACUUCUUUUAUAUGGGAAUAAAAUGUUCCACGUGUGGGAUUUUGUAUGUACCAUAUGAAUAAGGAUCGGCUAACCCCGUGCCAGCAGCCGCGGUAAUACGGAGGAUCCGAGCGUUAUCCGGAUUUAUUGGGUUUAAAGGGAGCGUAGGUGGAUUGUUAAGUCAGUUGUGAAAGUUUGCGGCUCAACCGUAAAAUUGCAGUUGAAACUGGCAGUCUUGAGUACAGUAGAGGUGGGCGGAAUUCGUGGUGUAGCGGUGAAAUGCUUAGAUAUCACGAAGAACUCCGAUUGCGAAGGCAGUUCACUGGACUGCAACUGACACUGAGGCUCGAAAGUGUGGGUAUCAAACAGGAUUAGAUACCCUUGUAGUC